AAACCGAUCGUGGGGCAUCGAGAGGGACGGUGUAUUCGACGGGAUGAUGGGGAUGCUGCAGCGCGAAGAGAAGGACUUCUGUACAGUGUCAGGGCCGUCUGAUGCACGUCUGAAGAUCAUUGAAUAUGUUCGAGGCUAUCCUUCAGACAUGGUCGUUGUGACAUCGUUAAAACCAACAUUUCUUCCACAGCACCUUGCUCUUGUAAGACCUUUCUCUGUUACCGUGUGGAUUGCGGUGUUUGGAUGUGUUGCGGCAUUUGGAACCUUCUUGUGGAUCCUGCAAUCACUGUGGACGUGGGCGACCGGUGGACAAACUAUAAAUCUUGAAACAAUCCUCCUGUACAGCUGGGGUGCACUUUUGGAGCAACCACCUCGAGAACCUUCAAUGAAUAUAUCAGGACAAAUGCUGGUAGGUUGGUGGCUCCUUUCCUCUUUGGUGAUUUCACUGGGAUUUAGAUCUUCUCUGAUUGCUCACCUAACUGUUCGAGGAAAAUCCGAACCAAUAAGAACUUUAGAAGAUCUCGUGCAUCUUUCGAAUUGGCAGUGGGGUACGGAAGCCUGGUUGCUGAAGGGGAUUCCGCUGGAAUAUUUUUCCAGGCAUACUGAUACAGUAGUAAAAGAAAUAUAUAAGAA